CCUACGGGAGGCAGCAGUAGGGAAUAUUGCUCAAUGGGGGAAACCCUGAAGCAGCAACGCCGCGUGGAGGAUGAAGGUUUUCGGAUUGUAAACUCCUUUUGUUAGAGAAGAUAAUGACGGUAUCUAACGAAUAAGCACCGGCUAACUCCGUGCCAGCAGCCGCGGUAAUACGGAGGGUGCAAGCGUUACUCGGAAUCACUGGGCGGAAAGAGCGCGUAGGCGGGAUAGCAAGUCAGAUGUGAAAUCCUAUGGCUUAACCAUAGAACUGCAUUUGAAACCGUUAUUCUAGAGUAUGGGAGAGGUAGGUGGAAUUCUUGGGGUAGGGGUAAAAUCCGUAGAGAUCAAGAGGAAUACUCAUUGCGAAGGCGACCUGCUAGAACAUAACUGACGCUGAUGCGCGAAAGCGUGGGGAGCAAACAGGAUUAGAUACCCGAGUAGUC
rnacentral:rRNA from 1 species